rnacentral:rRNA from 1 species
UUAGCGGCGGACGGGUGAGUAACACGUGAGUAACCUGCCUUAGACAUUGGGAUAGCCUCGGGAAACCGGGAUUAAUACCAAAUAAAAUUAUAAUGACACAUGUCAUAACGAUCAAAACUCCGGUGGUCUAAGAUGGACUCGCGUCCCAUUAGCUAGUUGGUAGAGUAAAAGCCUACCAAGGCGACGAUGGGUAGCCGGCCUGAGAGGGUGAACGGCCACAUUGGAACUGAGAAACGGUCCAA